UACGUAGGGGGCAAGCGUUGUUCGGAAUUACUGGGCGUAAAGCGCGUGUAGGCGGUCUCUUAAGUCUGGUGUGAAAGCCCGGGGCUUACCCCCGGAAGUGCACUGGAAACUGGGAGACUAGAGUACCGGAGAGGAGGGUGGAAUUCCUGGUGUAGCGGUGAAAUGCGUAGAUAUCGGAAGGAACACCAGUGGCGAAAGCGGCUUCCUGGUCCAGCACCGACGUUCAGGCACGAAAGCGUGGGGAGCAAACAGGG
rnacentral:rRNA from 1 species